CGCGGGGUAGAGCAGUUGGUAGCUCGUCGGGCUCAUAACCCGGAGGUCAGAGGUUCAAGUCCUCUCCCCGCAACCA
rnacentral:tRNA from 1 species